UCCCUACGGGGCGCAGCAGUGAGGAAUAUUGGUCAAUGGACGAGAGUCUGAACCAGCCAAGUAGCGUGAAGGAUGACUGCCCUAUGGGUUGUAAACUUCUUUUAUAAAGGAAUAAAACGAGGCACGUGUGCCUUUUUGCAUGUACUUUAUGAAAAAGCAUCGGCUAACUCCGUGCCAGCAGCCGCGGUAAUACGGAGGAUGCGAGCGUUAUCCGGAUUUAUUGGGUUUAAAGGGUGCGUAGGCGGGCUGUUAAGUCAGCGGUCAAAUGUCGGGGCUCAACCCCGGCCUGCCGUUGAAACUGGCGG
rnacentral:rRNA from 1 species